CCUACGGGUGGCAGCAGUGAGGAAUAUUGGUCAAUGGCCGUAAGGCUGAACCAGCCAAGUAGCGUGAGGGAAGACUGCCCUAUGGGUUGUAAACCUCUUUUAUGCGGGGAUAAAGGUGUCCACGUGUGGAUGUUUGCAGGUACCGCAUGAAUAAGGACCGGCUAAUUCCGUGCCAGCAGCCGCGGUAAUACGGAAGGUCCGGGCGUUAUCCGGAUUUAUUGGGUUUAAAGGGAGCGUAGAUGGGUUGUUAAGUCAGUUGUGAAAGUUUGCGGCUCAACCGUAAAAUUGCAAUUGAUACUGGCAGUCUUGAGUACAGUUGAGGUAGGCGGAAUUCGUGGUGUAGCGGUGAAAUGCUUAGAUAUCACGAAGAACUCCGAUUGCGAAGGCAGCUUACUAAACUGCCACUGACAUUGAUGCUCGAAAGUGUGGGUAUCAAACAGGAUUAGAUACCCGGGUAGUC
rnacentral:rRNA from 1 species